AUUGAACGCUGGCGGCAGGCCUAACACAUGCAAGUCGAACGCGUGGCGGACGGGUGAGUAAUGUCUGGGAACCUGCCCGAUGGCGGGGGAUAACUACUGGAAACGGUAGCUAAUACCGCAUACCAUCAGAUCUGCUCAGAUGGGAUUAGCUAGUUGGUGGGGUAACGGCUCACCAAGGCAAAGAUCCGUAGCUGGUCUGAGAGGAUGACCAGACACGCUGGAAAUGAAACACGGACAAUACUCCUAGGGGAGGGAGCAGUGGGGAAUAUUGGACAAUGGGCGCAAUCCUGAUGCAGCCAUGCCGCGUGUAUAAAGAAGGCCUUCGGGUUGUAAAGUACUUUCAGCAGUGAGGCGUUACCCGCAGAAGACGCACCGACUGACUCCGUGCCAGCAGCCGCGGUAAUUC
rnacentral:rRNA from 1 species